rnacentral:rRNA from 1 species
GACGAACGCUGGCGGCGUGCUUAACACAUGCAAGUCGAACGGAAAGGCCCUGCUUUUGUGGGGUGCUCGAGUGGCGAACGGGUGAGUAACACGUGAGUAACCUGCCCUUGACUUUGGGAUAACUUCAGGAAACUGGGGCUAAUACCGGAUAGGAGCUCCUGCUGCAUGGUGGGGGUUGGAAAGUUUCGGCGGUUGGGGAUGGACUCGCGGCUUAUCAGCUUGUUGGUGGGGUAGUGGCUUACCAAGGCUUUGACGGGUAGCCGGCCUGAGAGGGUGACCGGCCACAUUGGGACUGAGAUACGGCCCAGACUCCUACGGGAGGCAGCAGUGGGGAAUAUUGCACAAUGGGCGGAAGCCUGAUGCAGCAACGCCGCGUGCGGGAUGACGGCCUUCGGGUUGUAAACCGCUUCCGCCUGUGACGAAGCGUGAGUGACGGUAAUGGGUAAAGAAGCACCGGCUAACUACGUGCCAGCAGCCGCGGUGAUACGUAGGGUGCGAGCGUUGUCCGGAUUUAUUGGGCGUAAAGGGCUCGUAGGUGGUUGAUCGCGUCGGAAGUGUAAUCUUGGGGCUUAACCCUGAGCGUGCUUUCGAUACGGGUUGACUUGAGGAAGGUAGGGGAGAAUGGAAUUCCUGGUGGAGCGGUGGAAUGCGCAGAUAUCAGGAGGAACACCAGUGGCGAAGGCGGUUCUCUGGGCCUUUCCUGACGCUGAGGAGCGAAAGCGUGGGGAGCGAACAGGCUUAGAUACCCUGGUAGUCCACGCUGUAAACGGUGGGUACUAGGUGUGGGGUCCAUUCCACGGGUUCCGUGCCGUAGCUAACGCUUUAAGUACCCCGCCUGGGGAGUACGGCCGCAAGGCUAAAACUCGAAGGAAUUGACGGGGCCCCGCACAAGCGGCGGAGCAUGCGGAUUAAUUCGAUGCAACGCGUAGAACCUUACCUGGGUUUGACAUGGAUCGGGAGUGCUCAGAGAUGGGUGUGCCUCUUUUGGGGUCGGUUCACAGGUGGUGCAUGGCUGUCGUCAGCUCGUGUCGUGAGAUGUUGGGUUAAGUCCCGCAACGAGCGCAACCCUUGUUCACUGUUGCCAGCACGUUAUGGUGGGGACUCAGUGGAGACCGCCGGGGUCAACUCGGAGGAAGGUGGGGAUGACGUCAAGUCAUCAUGCCCCUUAUGUCCAGGGCUUCACGCAUGCUACAAUGGCUGGUACAGAGAGUGGCGAGCCUGUGAGGGUGAGCGAAUCUCGGAAAGCCGGUCUCAGUUCGGAUUGGGGUCUGCAACUCGACCUCAUGAAGUCGGAGUCGCUAGUAAUCGCAGAUCAGCAACGCUGCGGUGAAUACGUUCCCGGGGCU